AGACAGCAGUAGCCACGGGAACACGUAGGGUGCAAGCGUUAAUCGGAAUUACUGGGCGUAAAGCGUGCGCAGGCGGUUAUAUAAGACAGAUGUGACAUCCCCGGGCUCAACCUGGGAACUGCAUUUGUGACUGUAUAGCUAGAGUACGGCAGAGGGGGAUGGAAUUCCGCGUGUAGCAGUGAAAUGCGUAGAUAUGCGGAGGAACACCGAUGGCGAAGGCAAUCCCCUGGGCCUGUACUGACGCUCAUGCACGAAAGCGUGGGGAGCAAACAGGAUUAGAUACCCCCGUAGUCCCUGUCUCUUAUAA
rnacentral:rRNA from 1 species